rnacentral:lncRNA from 1 species
GCAGGUAUUUUCUGAGAUAUCCCCAUCGAAUCAAAGCUUCUAUCUCAUCCUUCAACUGGAUGCACUGCUCGGUAUUGUGAUCGUGGUCAUGAUGGAACCGAAAAUAGUACUUCCGAUUGUGAGAUAUCGGCCGCGACUUCAUUGGUUGGGGUCGUCGGAGGUAACUCUAUCCUUUUAUCUCCAUAAGAAUCUGCACACGAGGAGCAGUAAGAGGGAUGUAAGAAUCUUACUUGCUGUCGA